GGAGGCAUAUCGAAGCGGUCAUAACGAGGCGGUCUUGAAAACCGUUUGGGAGCAAUCCCACGGGGGUUCGAAUCCCUCUGCCUCCGCCA
rnacentral:tRNA from 1 species